rnacentral:rRNA from 1 species
UACAGAGGGUGCAAGCGUUAAUCGGAAUUACUGGGCGUAAAGAGUGCGUAGGUGGAUAAUUAAGUCAUAUGUGAAAGCCCCGGGCUUAACCUGGGAAUUGCGUCUGAAACUGGUUGUCUAGAGUAUGGUAGAGGAUAGUGGAAUUUCCGGUGUAGCGGUGAAAUGCGUAGAUAUCGGGAGGAACACCUGUGGCGAAAGCGGCUCACUGGACCAUAACUGACGCUGAUGCACGAAAGCUGGGGGAGCAAACAGG